AAUUAAACUCAAAUAUUCAGACGUGUGAAUAAACAAUUUACCAAAUGGAUAUUUCAUAUUUUCUUUUGAUUUGAAUGAUGAUGCCAUCGAUAAUGAUUUUCUAAUAUUUCAGGAUAUCUCAAUGUUUUGGAGCAUGGUGGUUCUGGAUGGAAAAAACGUUGGGUGACGGUGCGACGACCUUACGUAUUAAUAUUCAGGUCAGAGAAAGAUCCAGUUGAACGAGCUGUCUUAAAUUUAGCAACAGCUCAAGUGGAAUGUAGUGAAGAUCAAGCUGCAAUGGUUAAAAUUCCGAACACUUUUAGUGUUGUGACGAAACAUAGGGGAUAUUUGUUACAAACUCUUGGAGAUAAAGAAGUUCAUGAUUGGCUGUAUGCCAUUAAUCCACUUUUAGCAGGUCAAAUACGGU